rnacentral:rRNA from 1 species
AGCGAACGCUGGCGGCAGGCCUAACACAUGCAAGUCGAACGGACCCUUCGGGGUUAGUGGCGGACGGGUGAGUAACACGUGGGAACGUGCCUUUAGGUUCGGAAUAGCUCAGGGAAACUUGUGCUAAUACCGAAUGUGCCCUUCGGGGGAAAGAUUUAUCGCCUUUAGAGCGGCCCGCGUCUGAUUAGCUAGUUGGUGAGGUAAAGGCUCACCAAGGCUACGAUCAGUAGCUGGUCUGAGAGGAUGACCAGCCACAGUGGGGCUGAGACACGGUCCAAACUCCGUCGGGAGGCAGCAGUGGGGAAUCUUGCGCAAUGGGCGGAAGCCUGACGCAGCCAUGCCGCGUGGAUGAUGAAGGUCUUAGGAUUGUAAAAUCCUUUCACCGGUGAAGAUAAUGGCUGUAGCCGGAGAAGAAGCCCCGGCUAACUUCGUGCCAGCCGCCGCAGUAAUAC